AACCCAUUGGGCUUUUAUUCAAGCAUUGGAUGACUUGAAAUAAUAAAAACCCAAAGCCCAAAAACAACACAAAGGGGCCGGCCACUUUAGGUGAAGAAAGGAGAGAUAUUUAGUCAAGUGUUGACUAGGUUUCUUUUGUCUAUAUAAGGAACUUUAUAAGAUAUUGUUCAUUAGGGUUUUUUUGUGAGUUUUGAACAACAAAAGAGGCAAAAGAAAAUAGCUCUCUUGAACCACAAAAGCCGGCCACCAAAGGGGAGUUUUUACUAACAUCUCUUACACCCUUUUGGUUAUUUCUUCAUCCUUCUCACUACACUAGUGGGUGAGGAUCUUUAGAGGUUUCCUACUUUGGGAACUUGAAGAGAA
rnacentral:lncRNA from 1 species